ensembl:snRNA U6 U6 spliceosomal RNA
UAUAGUGUUCUCUGCAGCAGCCCAUAUCAUACCAAAAUUGGAACCAUACACAGAAGAUUAGCAUUGCUUCUGAACAAAGAUGACACACAUAUUCAUGAAGCAUUCCAUAUUUUU